UACGUAGGCAGCGAGCGUUGUUCGGAGUUACUGGGCGUAAAGAGUGCGUAGGCGGUUUUCUAAGUUUGGUGUGAAAUCUCCCGGCUUAACUGGGAGGGUGCGCCGAAGACUGGAAGGCUUGAGUAUGGGAGAGGUAAGCGGAAUUCCUGGUGUGGCGGUGAAAUGCGUAGAUAUCAGGAGGAACACCUGCGGUGUAGACGGCUUACUGGACCAUCACUGACGCUGAGGCACGAAAGCGUGGGUAGCAAACAGG
rnacentral:rRNA from 1 species